rnacentral:rRNA from 1 species
GCUGGCGGCACGCCUAACACAUGCAAGUCGAACGAAGUAGCAAUACUUAGUGGCAGACGGGUGAGUAACAUGUGGGUAUCUGCCCUUUGGCCUGGAAUAACACGAGGAAACUUGUGCUAAUACCGGAUAAGUCUUUACAGAGAAAGCUUUAUGCACCAUUGGAUGAGCCCGCACUUGAUUAGUUUGUUGGUGGGGUAAUGGCCUACCAAGACUGUGAUCAAUAGCUGAUUUGAGAGGAUGAUCAGCCACAUUGGGACUGAGACACGGCCCAAACUCCUACGGGAGGCAGCAGUGGGGAAUCUUGCACAAUGGAGGAAACUCUGAUGCAGCGAUGCCGCGUGAGUGAAGAAGGCCCUUGGGUUGUAAAGCUCUUUCGUCGGGGAAGAAAAUGACUGUACCCGAAUAAGAAGGUCCGGCUAACUUCGUGCCAGCAGCCGCGGUAAUACGAAGGGACCUAGCGUAGUUCGGAAUUACUGGGCUUAAAGAGUUCGUAGGUGGUUGAAAAAGUUAGUGGUGAAAUCCCAGAGCUUAACUCUGGAACUGCCAUUAAAACUUUUCAGCUAGAGUAUGAUAGAGGAAAGCAGAAUUUCUAGUGUAGAGGUGAAAUUCGUAGAUAUUAGAAAGAAUACCAAUUGCGAAGGCAGCUUUCUGGAUCAUUACUGACACUGAGGAACGAAAGC